GGGGUGCAGCAGGCGCGAAAACUUUGCAAUAGGCGAAAGCCUGACAGGGCUAUCCCGAGUGCCAUCCGCUGAGGAAGGCUUUUACCCAGUCUAGAACGCUGGGGGAAUAAGGAGAGGGCAAGUCUGGUGUCAGCCGCCGCGGUAAUACCAGCUCUUCGAGUGGUGUGGAUGUUUAUUGGGCCUAAAGCAUCCGUAGCUGGCUAAGUUAGUCCCUUGUUAAAUCCACCGAAUUAAUCGUUGGAUCGCGGGGGAUACUGCUUGGCUAGGGGACGAGAGAGGCAGACGGUAUUUUCGGGGUAGGGGUGAAAUCCUAUAAUCCCGGGAAGACCACCAGUGGCGAAGGCUGUCUGCUAGAACGCGCCCGACGGUGAGGGAUGAAAGCUGGGGGAGCGAACCGGAUUAGAUACCCGGGUAGUCCCAGCUGUAAACGAUGCAAACUAGGUGUUUGGACGGCCACGUGCCGUUCUAGUGCCGCAGGGAAGCUGUUAAGUUUGCCGCCUGGGGAGUACGAUCGCAAGAUUGAAACUUAAAGGAAUUGGCGGGGGAGCAC
rnacentral:rRNA from 1 species